UCUACGGGAGGCUGCAGUGGGGGAUAUUGCACAAUGGGGGGAACCCUGAUGCAGCGACGCCGCGUGGGUGAAGAAGCGCCUCGGCGCGUAAAGCCCUGUCAGCAGGGAAGAAAAUGACGGUACCUGACCAAGAAGCCCCGGCUAACUACGUGCCAGCAGCCGCGGUAAUACGUAGGGGGCAAGCGUUAUCCGGAUUUACUGGGUGUAAAGGGAGCGUAGACGGCAGGGCAAGUCUGGAGUGAAAGGCGGGGGCUCAACCCCCGGACUGCUCUGGAAACUGCCAGGCUGGAGUGCAGGAGAGGUAAGUGGAAUUCCUAGUGUAGCGGUGAAAUGCGUAGAUAUUAGGAGGAACACCAGUGGCGAAGGCGGCUUACUGGACUGUAACUGACGUUGAGGCUCGAAAGCGUGGGGAGCAAACAGGAUUAGAUACCCCAGUAGUC
rnacentral:rRNA from 1 species